CACAACCAAGCUAGCUGCGCCAUAAUCAAAUCAAAAUUAAAGCUGGUUAAUUGAUAAUUAGUAAAAUCUAAUAUAAAUCCUUCAAAACAAGGGAUGCUCGUGGAGAGUCUACUCCAUGUGACAGCUGUUUGUCGGCCACUUUGUCGCUCUAGACCCUGAAAUGUAAGCAAGAGUGAAGGCUCAGAGAUUACUGAAGAAAAAUACAGCUUUCCUCUCCUCAGGGCCCAUCACAGAACACAAGAGCAUCUGAAGUUACGAAUGAGGGAUGAACAGUCAUUACCACAGAGACCAUGCUUAGCAAUCAGAGAAAGUUUACAUUAUCCAGAGAUACUCCCAAGGAACGGAUCAUAGAAUGUGCAGCCUCUGACCACAUUAUCGUGGUGUCUUCUAGAAGAGUGUCACGGACCGCUGACUGUUUCCUUUUCCCCAUCUGGUCUCCGCAUCACUCACAGCGUGCCUCCUGCCUUCCCUGAUCUUCCAGGCUGAUGUAUAGCCUUCCUGGGAUGAGUAAAAUGUCAUCAUGUGUGAGCCAAUGUGCUACAAUAUCUGAGAGAAGGGAACGGUAGAAGAAAGAGCUGUGAACUCUUUUGGCUUUGUCUUAUAAACAGAAAUCUGGGUACAAUGUUUUGACCUAUUCUUAGAGGGAUAAUUAUAUCUUAUAUCAAAAA
rnacentral:sRNA from 1 species